CACGUAGGGGGCGAGCGUUGUCCGGAUUUAUUGGGCGUAAAGAGCUCGUAGGCGGCUCAGUAAGUCAGGUGUGAAAACUCCAGGCUCAACCUGGAGACGCCACCUGAUACUGCUGUGGCUAGAGUCCGGUAGGGGAGCAUGGAAUUCCUGGUGUAGCGGUGAAAUGCGCAGAUAUCAGGAGGAACACCAGUGGCGAAGGCGGUGCUCUGGGCCGGAACUGACGCUGAGGAGCGAAAGCAUGGGGAGCAAACAGG
rnacentral:rRNA from 1 species